AUCUUCAGGGCAGGGUGCAAGUCCCUACCGGCGGUAAAGCCCGCGAGCCGAAAGGCAGAUCCGGUGAGAUUCCGGAGCCGACAGUAAAGUCUGGAUGAAAGAAGAUG
rnacentral:ncRNA from 1 species